rnacentral:rRNA from 1 species
UACAGAGGGUGCGAGCGUUAAUCGGAAUUACUGGGCGUAAAGCGUGCGUAGACGGUUAUUUAAGUCGGGUGUGAAAGCCCCGGGCUCAACCUGGGAAUUGCAUUCGAGACUGCGCAGCUAGGGUGCGGAAGAGGGAAGCGGAAUUUCCGGUGUAGCGGUGAAAUGCGUAGAUAUCUGGAGGAACACCGGUGGCGAAGGCGACAUCCUGGACCGGUAUUGACGCUGAGGCGCGAAAGCCAGGGGAGCAAACGGG